rnacentral:rRNA from 1 species
ACGUUAGCGGCGGACGGGUGAGUAACACGUGGGUAACCUACCUAUAAGACUGGGAUAACUUCGGGAAACCGGAGCUAAUACCGGAUAAUAUUCGAACCGCAUGGUUCGAUAGUGAAAGAUGGUUUUGCUAUCACUUAUAGAUGGACCCGCGCCGUAUUAGCUAGUUGGUAAGGUAACGGCUUACCAAGGCGACGAUACGUAGCCGACCUGAGAGGGUGAUCGGCCACACUGGAACUGAGACACGGUCCAGACUCCUACGGGAGGCAGCAGCA